rnacentral:rRNA from 1 species
GACGAACGCUGGCGGCGUGCCUAAUACAUGCAAGUAGAACGCUGAAGAGAGGCGCUUGCUCUUCUUGGAUGUGUUGCUAACGGGUGAGUAACGCGUAAGUCACCUCCCUGGCAGCGGGGUAUCUCUAUGGGAAACGAUAGCUAAUACCGCAUAACCUUGUAUUACACAUGUCAUUUUUUUGAAUGUGGCAAUUGCUCCACUACAAGAUGGACCUGCGUGGGAUUAGCUAGUAGGUGAGGUAACGGCUCCCCUACGGGAGGAGUCAUUGCCGACCUGAGAGGAUGAGCGGCAGGACUGGGACUGAGACACGGCCCAGAGUCCCACAGGAUGCAGCAGUAGGGAAUCUUCGGCAAUGGGGGCGACCCUGAGCGAGCAACGCCGCGUGCGUGAGGAAGGUCGUCGGAUCGUAAAGAUCUGUUUUAAGUUAAGAAGGAGUGUGUGAAUGUAAAGUUCACACUGUGACGGUAGCGUACCAGAAAGGUACGGCUAACUACGUG